CAUAGGUUAAUGAGGCGAACCGGGGGAACUGAAACAUCUAAGUACCCCGAGGAAAAGAAAUCAACCGAGAUUCCCCCAGUAGCGGCGAGCGAACGGGGAGCAGCCCAGAGCCUGAAUCAGUAUGUGUGUUAGUGGAAGCGUCUGGAAAGGCGCGCGAUACAGGGUGACAGCCCCGUACACAAAAAUGCACAUGCUGUGAGCUCGAUGAGUAGGGCGGGACACGUGGUAUCCUGUCUGAAUAUGGGGGGACCAUCCUCCAAGGCUAAAUACUCCUGACUGACCGAUAGUGAACCAGUACCGUGAGGGAAAGGCGAAAAGAACCCCGGCGAGGGGAGUGAAAAAGAACCUGAAACCGUGUACGUACAAGCAGUGGGAGCUCGCUUAGGCGUGUGACUGCGUACCUUUUGUAUAAUGGGUCAGCGACUUAUAUUCUGUAGCAAGGUUAACCGAAUAGGGGAGCCGAAGGGAAACCGAGUCUUAACUGGGCGUUAAGUUGCAGGGUAUAGACCCGAAACCCGGUGAUCUAGCCAUGGGCAGGUUGAAGGUUGGGUAACACUAACUGGAGGACCGAACCGACUAAUGUUGAAAAAUUAGCGGAUGACUUGUGGCUGGGGGUGAAAGGCCAAUCAAACCGGGAGAUAGCUGGUUCUCCCCGAAAGCUAUUUAGGUAGCGCCUCGUGAAUUCAUCUCCGGGGGUAGAGCACUGUUUCGGCAAGGGGGUCAUCCCGACUUACCAACCCGAUGCAAACUGCGAAUACCGGAGAAUGUUAUCACGGGAGACACACGGCGGGUGCUAACGUCCGUCGUGAAGAGGGAAACAACCCAGACCGCCAGCUAAGGUCCCAAAGUCAUGGUUAAGUGGGAAACGAUGUGGGAAGGCCCAGACAGCCAGGAUGUUGGCUUAGAAGCAGCCAUCAUUUAAAGAAAGCGUAAUAGCUCACUGGUCGAGUCGGCCUGCGCGGAAGAUGUAACGGGGCUAAACCAUGCACCGAAGCUGCGGCAGCGACGCUUAUGCGUUGUUGGGUAGGGGAGCGUUCUGUAAGCCUGCGAAGGUGUGCUGUGAGGCAUGCUGGAGGUAUCAGAAGUGCGAAUGCUGACAUAAGUAACGAUAAAGCGGGUGAAAAGCCCGCUCGCCGGAAGACCAAGGGUUCCUGUCCAACGUUAAUCGGGGCAGGGUGAGUCGACCCCUAAGGCGAGGCCGAAAGGCGUAGUCGAUGGGAAACAGGUUAAUAUUCCUGUACUUGGUGUUACUGCGAAGGGGGGACGGAGAAGGCUAUGUUGGCCGGGCGACGGUUGUCCCGGUUUAAGCGUGUAGGCUGGUUUUCCAGGCAAAUCCGGAAAAUCAAGGCUGAGGCGUGAUGACGAGGCACUACGGUGCUGAAGCAACAAAUGCCCUGCUUCCAGGAAAAGCCUCUAAGCAUCAGGUAACAUCAAAUCGUACCCCAAACCGACACAGGUGGUCAGGUAGAGAAUACCAAGGCGCUUGAGAGAACUCGGGUGAAGGAACUAGGCAAAAUGGUGCCGUAACUUCGGGAGAAGGCACGCUGAUAUGUAGGUGAAGUCCCUCGCGGAUGGAGCUGAAAUCAGUCGAAGAUACCAGCUGGCUGCAACUGUUUAUUAAAAACACAGCACUGUGCAAACACGAAAGUGGACGUAUACGGUGUGACGCCUGCCCGGUGCCGGAAGGUUAAUUGAUGGGGUUAGCGCAAGCGAAGCUCUUGAUCGAAGCCCCGGUAAACGGCGGCCGUAACUAUAACGGUCCUAAGGUAGCGAAAUUCCUUGUCGGGUAAGUUCCGACCUGCACGAAUGGCGUAAUGAUGGCCAGGCUGUCUCCACCCGAGACUCAGUGAAAUUGAACUCGCUGUGAAGAUGCAGUGUACCCGCGGCAAGACGGAAAGACCCCGUGAACCUUUACUAUAGCUUGACACUGAACAUUGAGCCUUGAUGUGUAGGAUAGGUGGGAGGCUU
rnacentral:rRNA from 1 species